rnacentral:rRNA from 1 species
ACUCCUACGGGAGGCAGCAGUAGGGAAUUUUCCGCAAUGGACGAAAGUCUGAACGGAGCAAUGCCGCGUGAGUGAUGAAGGUUUUCGAAUUCGUUAAAGCAUCUGUUGUAAGGGAAGAAUAGCAAGAAUAGGAAAUGAUUCUUGUCUGACGGUACCUUACCAGAAAGCCACGGCUAACUACGUGCCAGCAGCCGCGGUAAUACGUAGGUGGCAAGCGUUAUCCGGAAUUACUGGGCGUAAAGCGCAUGCAGGCGGCCUGUUAAGUCAGAUGUGAAAGCCGGCUAGGCUA